UGCCCCUACGGGGCGCAGCAGUGGGGAAUAUUGGGCAAUGGGCGCAAGCCUGACCCAGCAACGCCGCGUGAAGGAAGAAGGCUUUCGGGUUGUAAACUUCUUUUCUCAGGGACGAAGAAAGUGACGGUACCUGAGGAAUAAGCCACGGCUAACUACGUGCCAGCAGCCGCGGUAAUACGUAGGUGGCAAGCGUUAUCCGGAUUUACUGGGUGUAAAGGGCGUGUAGGCGGGAGUGCAAGGCAGAUGUGAAAACCCCGGGCUCAACCUGGGGCCUGCAUUUGAAACUGUACUUCUUGAGUACUGGG
rnacentral:rRNA from 1 species